UCUUGUGGAAAUCGAUGGUAAACACUAACACAGAUUAGUAAUUUCUACAAAAAUCCAUAUUUUAUUCGAACUCUCGGCCAUAAUUAUACACAUCCUGCGAAAUUAUUCGGCCCCCAGCCAUAAAUUUUAGAGAGUUUCUCGGAAGGACCAACCCUCAUCCCUAUCGCACACAAAAGAAGUCAAUCUGUUGGUGCCGUUGUUCCAUCCUUAUCUCUCAAGGCGCUUGCUUCCCAAAAUAUUCCAUUGAUGGUAUUUAUACUAUUACACAUAUUGUCCUAAGUAAGCUUGCUUGAAAAAUACGGCUUUUGCUAACGGCCCAGUGAUAACCUUUGAUGAUAACUUGAUGAUGGGGUGUCACAGUUUUACGUAGGAAUGCUACAGGUUACACAAUUAUGUUACAAUCCCAACGACCCCUCUUAUCUCAAAAUUAAUUAUAGUUCAGAGGCGCAAUUAGGCUUUUGUUGCUAGUUUGGAGUUUAAGUCCAUUUGGAAAAAUUGCGCAAUUGUAUUGAGGUAACAAUAGAUAUGUGUUGAUAUGAUAUGUAUUGAAAAAUAUUAACCAGGGCAAUGUUCUACUAAUCUUCCGACAUUGCAACAGAGUUUAUCACAAGAUCCAUGACUGUUGGAACGGCCCAUUUUUCUCGAAUAAAUUAACGCGAUUUCCUAAUAAUGCACUGUACUUAACGGUGCACCAAAGCAAUUUCAAACUCUCUUAUUUAAAUAUUUUAUCCAUAAAACACCACGAGACAUGAAAUAAUUUUUAUUAAUUUAUCCACAAUGCCUACGAAAAUCGUCUUUGGAUAGCGGUGCAAUUUUAUGGCCUGUUUAGUGUAAUAAAGUGUAAUUGCUUGAUAAAAGGUGUGAAUCGUACAAUUAAAAUUGCAGUAAAAUGCUUAUUUAACAAAUAUUCAAUUAAAAAAUCGUAAAGAUAAUACUCGGGUCCUUCUCGCUCUUUUGAAAUCCGGUUUUAUUGAAAAUUUUAUAGCUUUCUUCAUAUUGUUUUGAUUAAAAAUUGCAAACAAAACAAAAAAUUGGUCAAAUAAACAUAAACAAAACUGUGAGAUAAAAUUUAUUCAAAACAUAAUAUUUUUCAGCGAAUCGCUAUUUAGGUCGACUCAGUCCUUGUUACAAGUCAUGCCCUAAUUUUGACGACGAUACAUUUUUAUAUCCUUCUUCUGGAAAAUAUUGACACAAUUAAAAUGGUAAUGGCAGAAAUUGUGAUAAUUAAUUAAUUAAUUGUUUAUUAUUACAUGACCCCUCGCGAAGUUUCAAAAUGUUUAUCGAGCAAAAUUCUAAAUAACAAAAUUUUGAAACUUUCAUUGGGGUAAUGAUCAGGCAAUCAGUACUUUAAUUUUAAUUUUUAUUUUUUUAUCAUCUCUUUGGCGACUAGUAAAUAAUUGCAAAUAUACAAUAAUUUAAUCUGUACUUUCUUGGAAGUCUUGAGCGGAUAAAUAACUGGCCAACUUAUCUCAGAAGGGGAAAUCCUCGAGUUGCACAUACUUGGCGCAAAAAAUGCAAACCUAGUAGUGAAUAAAUCAGGAAGAUUGUAGGCCAAAUAAUCGUGAAAGCGAAAUCCGCUCGAUUCAAUCUAUUUCCUUGACCAUAACCUGGGUGACGUCGGCCUUGUUCUAGGUAAUGGUACAACCACGGCAAUUCCAAAUUGUCUUUGUGUAAAAUUUCAUAAAAAUACUAGCUCAAAUGACCUCGAGGGAAAAAAUUCAGAACAAUAAUUCCCGUAAUUGCAAAUUGAGAAUUUACCGUCUAGUGUAACAUAUUGACAAGUUACAUCAGCCUAACAUCAAUCCUUGCAGUCAUCUUUUUCUGUAAUUUACCAUGCAAAAACCAUUAAACAUUCAAAUUGUCAGUUACGCUAGUAUAUAAUGCAGCCAAUCACAUAAUUAUAUGGCGGGGUAAUUAAUUAUUGUCUGCGGUAGAUGAUAAUUUCUUGAUAGAGUGAUAAUAAUCGUAAUAAUGCUAUCAGUGCUUGCAUAUCAAACGAACCGGUAACAAAUCGGAUCGAUUCAAUGCGAAUUAUGCAAAUAUUAAUUCUACACUGGCGUUACUAUUGUUUCUGACAUUUGCUGAUUUCCCACAAGUGAAUUUGUAACAUUUGGAGCGAAAUAAACGGGGUUACAAUUUAUUGUAUAUUUUUUUCGACUUGCCGGAGUUUCGUCCAUUACUUUAAUUUAAAGCACGUGGCGUAAGAUUUGUUAAUUAAUUUGUUAAGGUCGCCCCGAUGUAAAUAAUCAGGUUGCAUAAAUGUAAACCGUCGCAUAAGCAUUCCAUUGUAACAAUGUAAAAAGAAUAGCCGACAUAGAAAUUUGGUAAUUUGGCUGAUGAAAUCUUCACUUCUCUUGCACCAGGCGAAAGAGAUAAUCUAUAAAUAGCUUCGAUGAAGCAAAAUGUGUGUCUACGUGUGGGUAAAUUACAUGCCCAGAAAAAGGUUCAUUGAAUCAGACGAGAUAACUGGUUUACAAUAAAUCAAUGGCUUUGUAAUUUGACCAAGACCUUGUCGGCAGCUCCUCAUCAAUGAAAGCAUAGAUGACACUCAUUAAUUACAGGUGAAAGCUUGUCGAGCCACCUACUUGGCGUAUUAGCACCUUUUUGUGGGUAAAACCGUUGCACGGUCCAGCGGUGAGGGCCUUGUCCAAUCCUUCAGUUUUCUUCCAAAAUUUUUUAGAAUGCUGAUUAAGCUUCGGCAGAUGUGUUGGAAUUGUCUCAUAAAACUAACGAUCACUUAAAUUCACAAGGCAUUUUAAUAGUUCAGAUUUAGAGUUCGUGACGGUUUGAACUUAUUAAUUAUUAGAAAAUGAUGCAAUAUUUGGGAUUGUUUCAUCCGUUAGGUACAAAUGACUACAACAUCUUUUAACUUUCUUUUUAUGUCUAUUAUACCGAAGGUAGUUGUAAAAUAAACUGUACUUUACCAUCAAUCCAUGAUGCAAUAUUUUAAGAAGUUUCAUUUUUCUGGCUAAAUAAAAAAGUGGGUAUUUUAAGAUGCUGCGGUCCUAUUGUCAUAAUUUAUUGAUAUCAUUUUCUUUGUGUUUGUUAUGUGUAUUGUUCUAACAAGAACUUAUCUGUUAAGAAUUAAAAGUGCUUUGCUGCGGAAACAUGUGCUAGAAUGAGUCAUUUACUGUGAAAAUAAAAAAUUGCACAGUGACUCCAAUUCUUUAAUUAAAUAAAUGGGUCGUUAUUUCAUUACCUGGUGUAUAAUCCUAUAUAAUCAUGAUUCAUACUCGUACUUGCAGUCUAAAUUUUGGAGGAAUACGCAAAAAAUAACUAGUAGGUCCUGUCAGCUUCACAAAUAUUGUAUACAUUUCUCAAGUUUAAAAAAUUAAAUUUAACUAUUUAUCGUAUAUUAGAUUGUAAUCACAAGGCAGUAAGUGAAAAUGUGGUAGGAAAUAACAUUUUGAAUAAAAAAAUAUACGUGUAAAAAAUUAUUUGAGAACAAGGUUGGGAAAGUUUUUUUUUUGGUAAUGACACUGAUGAUUUAUUAGAUCAAAUAUUGAGGGGUAAAUGAGACUACAUAAAGAGAAAGAAACGGAAGGAAGCAAUAGAUAAAGAAAAGCCUUUGUUAGGAAAAUCUUCUAGAAAACCAAUGUUCUUGAAUUUUGAAUUGAAAUAAAUAAAUUAUUAGCCUUUAAUAAGUAAAUAUUGAUCAAAAAAAUCUAAUUAACAUUUGUACAAGGUUUAAUGAUUUAUGUUAAUUACCAUGUUCCUAUAUGGAGACAGUUUUGAUACAUGCACUGAUUCAUUUAAGUACCUAUGCACCAUAAAGCUGCAUUAUAAUCCUUUUGUUUUUUUUAUUUAUAACUUUUUAUAACUAUUUUUUUUUAGUAAUCGAUUCUUGAUUCUUGUGCAUUUGUUAAAAAUACCCACCUAUGUAAUAAUUGUAUUGAACGGUUAAAAUAUCGCUAAAAAAAUUCUGAACAUUCACUACUUUAUAAAAAAAUAAUUACUAUUUAUCGAUUGUUGUGCGUAUUAAGUACUUUUUAUAAAAAUUGUACUAUUUUUAUAAAAGAAACUAUUUACGUUCCAAGCAUUUAGUGUAAUUAAUAAUUAUACUAGCAUUACGUAGUAAACGAAUAGCUGAUAUUAUUAGUAGUAAAAAAUUAGUUUGUUCCUUCACCUAAACUAAAACCACAUACAUUACCGUUCAUUUCUUAUCAUUUAUCUUUAUUUCCUGCAUAAUGUAUUUCCUGGUGGCUACCUGCACCUAAUAAAUUUUGUGAUUUAGACAUGCAAAAUAAUGUCGAAAAAAGAUCGAUUAGUCUCGCUUUUAUUAUUACCAUUACUUUUUACCUUGCUUUUGGCAUUUUUUUAAAUUUUAUUAACCAUAUAAUCAUUAUAACGAAAUGAUCAGGAUUUAUUCUUUAACUAGUUAUUUCCGCUUGCAAACAUAAUUGUAAACUUAGAUUACCAACAAUGUAUUAAUAGUAAGUUGUAUUGCAUAUUCAGACAUUUGCGAGACUAAUCAGUAAGGUGGUUACUGAUUUAAAAAUAUUUCAGGUGUUUUUGGGACAUGGACAUGGGCAAAGCGAAAAUAAAAACCCAUUUAGAAAACUUCAAUUUUUUAUUCAAAUAUAAACAACAUACAAUAUAUGAUACGAUAUCUUUAUAAUAAUAGAAUUUGAUAUAACCAAAAACAAUACAGGUUUAUAGUAAAGCAAAA